UUAAGCGACUAAGCGUACACGGUGGAUGCCCUGGCAGUCAGAGGCGAUGAAGGACGUGCUAAUCUGCGAAAAGCGUCGGUAAGGUGAUAUGAACCGUUAUAGCCGGCGAUGUCCGAAUGGGGAAACCCAGUGCAAUUCGUUGCACUAUCGUUAACUGAAUACAUAGGUUAACGAGGCGAACCGGGGGGAACUGAAACAUCUAAGUACCCCGAGGAAAAGAAAUCAACCGAGAUUCCCCCAGUAGCGGCGAGCGAACGGGGAGCAGCCCAGAGUCUGAAUCAGCUUGUGUGUUAGUGGAACGGUCUGGAAAGUCCGACGGUACAGGGUGAUAGUCCCGUACACCAAAAUGCACAGGCUGUGAACUCGAAGAGUAGGGCGGGACACGUGGUAUCCUGUCUGAAUAUGGGGGGACCAUCCUCCAAGGCUAAAUACUCCUGACUGACCGAUAGUGAACCAGUACCGUGAGGGAAAGGCGAAAAGAACCCCGGCGAGGGGAGUGAAAAAGAACCUGAAACCGUGUACGUACAAGCAGUGGGAGCACCUUCGGGUGUGACUGCGUACCUUUUGUAUAAUGGGUCAGCGACUUAUAUUCUGUAGCAAGGUUAACCGUAUAGGGGAGCCGCAGGGAAACCGAGUCUUAACUGGGCGUUAAGUUGCAGGGUAUAGACCCGAAACCCGGUGAUCUAGCCAUGGGCAGGUUGAAGGUUGGGUAACACUAACUGGAGGACCGAACCGACUAAUGUUGAAAAAUUAGCGGAUGACUUGUGGCUGGGGGGUGAAAGGCCAAUCAAACCGGGAGAUAGCUGGUUCUCCCCGAAAGCUAUUUAGGUAGCGCCUCGUGAAUUCAUCUUCGGGGGUAGAGCACUGUUUCGGCUAGGGGGUCAUCCCGACUUACCAACCCGAUGCAAACUACGAAUACCGAAGAAUGUUAUCACGGGAGACACACGGCGGGUGCUAACGUCCGUCGUGAAGAGGGAAACAACCCAGACCGCCAGCUAAGGUCCCAAAGUCAUGGUUAAGUGGGAAACGAUGUGGGAAGGCACAGACAGCCAGGAUGUUGGCUUAGAAGCAGCCAUCAUUUAAAGAAAGCGUAAUAGCUCACUGGUCGAGUCGGCCUGCGCGGAAGAUGUAACGGGGCUAAACCAUGCACCGAAGCUGCGGCAGCGACACUAUGUGUUGUUGGGUAGGGGAGCGUUCUGUAAGCCUGCGAAGGUGGCCUGUGAGGGUUGCUGGAGGUAUCAGAAGUGCGAAUGCUGACAUAAGUAACGAUAAAGCGGGUGAAAAGCCCGCUCGCCGGAAGACCAAGGGUUCCUGUCCAACGUUAAUCGGGGCAGGGUGAGUCGACCCCUAAGGCGAGGCCGAAAGGCGUAGUCGAUGGGAAACAGGUUAAUAUUCCUGUACUUGGUGUUACUGCGAAGGGGGGACGGAGAAGGCUAUGUUAGCCGGGCGACGGUUGUCCCGGUUUAAGCAUGUAGGCUGGUUAUCCAGGCAAAUCCGGAUAAUCAAGGCUGAGGUGUGAUGACGAGGCACUACGGUGCUGAAGUAACAAAUGCCCUGCUUCCAGGAAAAGCCUCUAAGCAUCAGGUAACAUCAAAUCGUACCCCAAACCGACACAGGUGGUCAGGUAGAGAAUACCAAGGCGCUUGAGAGAACUCGGGUGAAGGAACUAGGCAAAAUGGUGCCGUAACUUCGGGAGAAGGCACGCUGGUGUGUAGGUGAAGUCCCUGCGGAUGGAGCUGAGACCAGUCGAAGAUACCAGCUGGCUGCAACUGUUUAUUAAAAACACAGCACUGUGCAAACACGAAAGUGGACGUAUACGGUGUGACGCCUGCCCGGUGCCGGAAGGUUAAUUGAUGGGGUUAUCCGUAAGGAGAAGCUCUUGAUCGAAGCCCCGGUAAACGGCGGCCGUAACUAUAACGGUCCUAAGGUAGCGAAAUUCCUUGUCGGGUAAGUUCCGACCUGCACGAAUGGCGUAAUGAUGGCCAGGCUGUCUCCACCCGAGACUCAGUGAAAUUGAACUCGCUGUGAAGAUGCAGUGUACCCGCGGCAAGACGGAAAGACCCCGUGAACCUUUACUAUAGCUUGACACUGAACAUUGAGCCUUGAUGUGUAGGAUAGGUGGGAGGCUUUGAAGCGUGGACGCCAGUCUGCGUGGAGCCAACCUUGAAAUACCACCCUUUAAUGUUUGAUGUUCUAACGUUGGCCCCUUACCGGGGUUGCGGACAGUGUCUGGUGGGUAGUUUGACUGGGGCGGUCUCCUCCCAAAGCGUAACGGAGGAGCACGAAGGUUAGCUAAUCCUGGUCGGACAUCAGGAGGUUAGUGCAAUGGCAUAAGCUAGCUUGACUGCGAGCGUGACGGCGCGAGCAGGUGCGAAAGCAGGUCAUAGUGAUCCGGUGGUUCUGAAUGGAAGGGCCAUCGCUCAACGGAUAAAAGGUACUCCGGGGAUAACAGGCUGAUACCGCCCAAGAGUUCAUAUCGACGGCGGUGUUUGGCACCUCGAUGUCGGCUCAUCACAUCCUGGGGCUGAAGUAGGUCCCAAGGGUAUGGCUGUUCGCCAUUUAAAGUGGUACGCGAGCUGGGUUUAGAACGUCGUGAGACAGUUCGGUCCCUAUCUGCCGUGGGCGCUGGAGAAUUGAGGGGGGCUGCUCCUAGUACGAGAGGACCGGGAGUGGACGCAUCACUGGUGUUCGGGUUGUCAUGCCAAUGGCACUGCCCGGUAGCUAAAUGCGGAAGAGAUAAGUGCUGAAAGCAUCUAAGCACGAAACUUGCCCCGAGAUGAGUUCUCCCUGAGACUUUAAGUCUCCUGAAGGAACGUUAAAGACGAUGACGUUGAUAGGCCGGGUGUGUAAGCGCAGCGAUGCGUUGAGCUAACCGGUACUAAUGAACCGUGAGGCUUAACCUU
rnacentral:rRNA from 1 species